AGGUUAUGAUGUCCAAACUCACGAUGGUCUGCAGAGUCCCCCAGGUGAGGGGCUGCUGACAAUGCCACUGGCACGUGCUGAACCGUGGGG
ensembl:snoRNA